UGUCAACAUAAUGCUAAAAAUAAAGAAAGAAAAACAAGCAGCGUAAGAAAUAGGAAUAGGAACUGCGGCGCGAAAAUAUUCAUUAAGGUUAAAAAAGAAAACAAAGAUGCAGGGACCAUUUGCUUAAGGAGGGUCUAAACGCCAUUAUCGAGGUAUAUUUUAAGCAUAACCACAGGGUUUCGGUAGCAGAAUCCUAUAGUUAUUUAAGAGUAAACUCAACUACAAAAGAUUGCUUUGUCAAGUAUUUUAAUGAAGGAAUGACACCCAGCGAAGCCAAAAAUUUCCAUAAAUCUACACUCAUGGCUACAACGCCAAGUAAUAAAAAAUGUGAAACUCUUGCCAAUGCCCAAGUAAAUCCUAUGGAACGCUCAAUUUAUCAUUUAUAUGACCAAUGAAGGAAAGAAAAUUAUGGAGAAAGAACAAGCAAAAGUCUAUUUGAAAAGCUGAUUGAGAAAAAAACUCACUUUGAACGCCACGGAGUCAAGAUGUUUGUCAGCGAAGAGCCAUUUUGCUGUGUUAUAAUAACGCCCUUAAUGUGCAGAGCUCACAGUAUGCAUUUUUCUGGUGAAAUUGUUUUUGUUGACAGCAGUGGAUCAUGCGAUCAAAUAGGUAAUUCUAUAACAUUCCUUUUUUGUGCUACUAAAGUUGGUGGUGUACCUCUCGGCUGUGUGAUCCACAGUUAUCAAACACAGCAAGUAUAUGAAUUUUGUUUUCAAAAACUUA